AUUGAACGCUGGCGGCAGGCCUAACACAUGCAAGUCGAACGGUAACAGGAAGCAGCUUGCUGCUUCGCUGACGAGUGGCGGACGGGUGAGUAAUGUCUGGGAAACUGCCUGAUGGAGGGGGAUAACUACUGGAAACGGUAGCUAAUACCGCAUAACGUCGCAAGACCAAAGAGGGGGACCUUAGGGCCUCUUGCCAUCGGAUGUGCCCAGAUGGGAUUAGCUAGUAGGUGGGGUAACGUCUCACCUAGGGGACGUUCCCUAGCUGGUCUGAGAGGAUGACCAGCCACCCGGGAACUGAGACACGGUCCGGACCCCUACGGAGGGAAGCAGUGGGGAAUAUUGGACAUUGGGCGCAGGCCGGAUGCAGCCAUGCCGCGUGGAUGAGGAAGGCCUUCGGGUUGUAAAGUACUUUCAGCGGGGAGGAAGGGAGUAAAGUUAAUACCUUUGCUCAUUGACGUUACCCGAAGAAGAAGCGCCGGCUAACUCCGUG
rnacentral:rRNA from 1 species